rnacentral:rRNA from 1 species
GACGAACGCUGGCGGCGUGCUUAACACAUGCAAGUCGAACGGAAAGGCCCUGCUUUUGUGGGGUGCUCGAGUGGCGAACGGGUGAGUAACACGUGAGUAACCUGCCCUUGACUUUGGGAUAACUUCAGGAAACUGGGGCUAAUACCGGAUAGGAGCUCCUGCUGCAUGGUGGGGGUUGGAAAGUUUCGGCGGUUGGGGAUGGACUCGCGGCUUAUCAGCUUGUUGGUGGGGUAGUGGCUUACCAAGGCUUUGACGGGUAGCCGGCCUGAGAGGUUGACCGGCCACAUGGGGACUGAGGUACGGCCCAGACUCCUACGGUAGACAGCAGUGGGGAAUAUUGCACAAUGGGCGGAAGCCUGAUGCAGCAACGCCGCGUGCGUGAUGACGGCCUUCGGGUUGUAAACCGCUUUCGCCUGUGACGAAGCGUGAGUGACGGUAAUGGGUAAAGAAGCACCGGCUAACUACGUG